rfam:Syntrophaceticus schinkii strain Sp3 genome assembly, contig: SSCH_Contig_274
AAACUAACGACUAAUUACCAACGACCUACAACUAAAAAGACAAGCGUGGAAUCCUAACGACUAAUUACCAACGACCAACCACUAAACUGGUAGGGGAGCGGUUCCAGCAGCACAGAAGGUGUACCGAAAGGUAUGCUGGAGCGGCUGGAAGUGAGAAUGCCGGUAUGAGUAGCGAGAAGGCAGGUGAGAAUCCUGCCCGCCGGAAGCCCGAGGUUUCCUGGGGAAGCGUCGUCCGCCCAGGGUAAGUCGGGACCUAAGCCGAGGCUGAAAAGCGUAGGCGAUGGACAAUCGGUGGAAAUUCCGAUACCACCGGUAAGCCGUUAAUAGCGAUGGGGUGACACAGGAGGGUAGGCACAGCGGGCCGUUGGUAGAGCCCGUCCAAGCUGGUAGGGAGACCUGAUAGGCAAACCCGUCAGGUCACAAAUCCCGAGAAGCGAGAGCGAGGGAAAAAUAAGUACCGAAGUGGCUGAUCCCACACUGGCGAGAAAAACCUCUAGUGAGGCUUACAGGUGCCCGUACCGUAAACCGACACAGGUAGGCGAGGAGAGAAUCCUAAGGCGCGCGAGAGAACCCUUGUUAAGGAACUCGGCAAACUGACCCCGUAACUUAGGGAGAAGGGGUGCCCCAAUAGGGUGAAGAUAAACAAUUGGAGCCCGAGGGGGUUGCAGAGAAGAGGCCCAAGCGACUGUUUACCAAAAACACAGGUCCCUGCUAAAGCGAAAGCUGAUGUAUAGGGGCUGACGCCUGCCCGGUGCUGGAAGGUUAAGGGGAAGAGUGCAAGCUCAGAACCGAAGCCCCAGUAAACGGCGGCCGUAACUAUAACGGUCCUAAGGUAGCGAAAUUCCUUGUCGGGUAAGUUCCGACCUGCACGAAUGGCGUAACGACUUGGGCGCUGUCUCAACAAGGGACUCGGUGAAAUUGUAGUACCCGUAAAGAUACGGGUUACCUGCGACAGGACGGAAAGACCCCGUGGAGCUUUACUGUAACUUGACAUUGGAUUUUGGUACUUUUUGUACAGGAUAGGUGGGAGGCAUAGAACCCAGGCCGCCAGGUUUGGGGGAGCCACAGGUGGGAUACCACCCUGAGAGUGCUGGAAUUCUAACCUGCUGCCGUAAACCGGCAGGGGGACAAUGUCAGGUGGGCAGUUUGACUGGGGCGGUCGCCUCCCAAAGAGUAACGGAGGCGCCCAAAGGUUCCCUCAGCGUGGUUGGAAAUCACGCGCGAAGAGUGUAAAGGCAGAAGGGAGCUUGACUGUGAGAGAGACAUCUCGAACAGGUGCGAAAGCAGGGCUUAGUGAUCCGGCGGCACCGCGUGGAAGGGCCGUCGCUCAACGGAUAAAAGCUACCCCGGGGAUAACAGGCUUAUCUCCCCCAAGAGUCCACAUCGACGGGGAGGUUUGGCACCUCGAUGUCGGCUCAUCGCAUCCUGGGGCGGAAGUACGUCCCAAGGGUUGGGCUGUUCGCCCAUUAAAGCGGUACGUGAGCUGGGUUCAGAACGUCGUGAGACAGUUCGGUCCCUAUCCGUCGCAGGCGCAGGAAACUUGAGGGGGGCUGUCCCUAGUACGAGAGGACCGGGAUGGACAGACCACUGGUGUACCAGUUAUCGUGCCAACGGUACAGCUGGGUAGCUAUGUUUGGAACGGAUAAGCGCUGAAAGCAUCUAAGCGCGAAGCCGGCCCCAAGAUGAGGUUUCCCAUCCAGCGCAAGCUGGAGUAAGACCCCUGGAAGAUGACCAGGUAGAUAGGCCGGGAGUGUAAGAGGGGUAACUCUUUAAGCGGACCGGUACUAAUAGGUCGAGGGCUUGCCUAA